rnacentral:rRNA from 1 species
UACGGAAUGUGCAAACGUUAUUCGGAAUCACUGGGCUUAAAGAGUCCGUAGGCGGCAUGUUAGGUGAGGUGUGAAAUCCCCCGGCUCAACCGAGGAAUUGCGCUUCAAACCGGCGUGCUUGAGGAAGAUAGAGGUGGGCGGAACUGAUGGUGGAGCGGUGAAAUGCGUUGAUAUCAUCAGGAACACCGGAGGCGAAAGCGGCCCACUGGGUCUUUUCUGACGCUGAGGCGCGAAAGCGUGGGGAGCAAACGGG